UCAUGGUCUAUGGCUUGGAUCAAUCUAAGAUGAACUGUGACCGAGUCUUCAAUGUCUUCUGCUUAUAUGGCAAUGUGGAGAAGGUGAAAUUCAUGAAAAGCAAGCCGGGGGCCGCCAUGGUGGAGAUGGCUGAUGGCUACGCUGUAGACCGGGCCAUUACCCACCUCAACAACAACUUCAUGUUUGGGCAGAAGCUGAAUGUCUGGUAGGUGCUCAGGCUAGGGAGGGCGGCAGAGGUACAGGGGAGAGAAAAGGAGGGGAAUGGGGCCCAGCAGAGGAGCACAGUGAGGCCGAGGUGUUGACUCACACAGAAAUGGGAUGUGGCAGGUGUGUUCCCAGACGUGUCUCUGACACCACGGGAGAAAGUGAGUCAGCCUUGCCUCAGGUGUAGAGCAAUACCCCAAGGCACACAGGGCAAGCUAAGCCUCUGGAGGCCACAGGGGAAAG
rnacentral:sRNA from 1 species